rnacentral:rRNA from 1 species
GACGAACGCUGGCGGCGUGCCUAAUACAUGCAAGUUGAGCGCUGAGGGUUGGUACUUGUUCCUACUGGGUGAGCAGCGAACGGGUGAGUAACGCGUGGGGAAUCUGCCUUUGAGCGGGGGACAACUUUUGGAAACGAAUGCUAAUACCGCAUAAAAACUUUAAACACAAGUUUUAAGUUUGAAAGAUGCAAUUGCAUCACUCAAAGAUGAUCCCGCGUUGUAUUAGCUAGUUGGUAAGGUAAAGGCUCACCAAGGCAAUGAUACGUAGCCGACCUGAGAGGGUGAUCGGCCACAUUGGAACUGAGACACGGUCCAAACUCCUACGGGAGGCAGCAGUAGGGAAUCUUCGGCAAUGGGCGAAAGCCUGACGGAGCAACGCCGCGUGAGUGAUGAAGGUCUUCGGAUCGUAAAACUCUGUUAUUAGGGAAGAACAAAGGUGUAAGUGAAUAUGCACGUAUUGACGGUACCUAAUCAGAAAGGGACGGCUAACUACGUG